rnacentral:lncRNA from 1 species
UUUUACAAGAUUGAUAACAGUGCACAUCAUUGAAUUGAAAUCAAAGCCUAACAUGCUACAAAAGACAUGUGAUCUCCAAAGGAGAAGUAGAGUCAUUGUAGAGCUUGCCUAAGGUCACACAUCAUAUUGAACCCCAGCCGAGACACUGCACCAUCUUCUCCGCUGCCGUUGAGCCAUGGCCAUCGCUCGCUGUCCCUGCGGAAUCAAAGAUCUGAGAUUGGGCUGCAGGCUGUCUUCACACUUCAUGGGUAAAAAAGGGAUAAAAUGACAAAUUCACAAAUCUGAUACAGGUAAUCAAGAAGAAAUAACAUGCAUACUAAAUUUAGUGAUAGUUCAUAGAAGCGACAAGCUAUCACUAUGCAGAUUUAUGGGCAAUGCCCUCUAUAUAUCUAGACUGUCACUCCAGGCUACAGAGUAUGUUGCGAUAUGUUUCACAUGUUACUGUUUCUCAUCUAGCUAAAAAGAAAGAUAAAUAUACAAUUUGACACCGAGCAUCCUACUGUGUCAGUUGCAUCCUCCCAUCAUCCUUUUCAAUAUUAAAUUGAUCCUGAAAAUAACAUAAAAAGCAUCAAGAAAAAAUUGAAUGAUUGAAGUGUAAAGAAACAGGAAGCAGCAUGGGUGUUCAAGUUAUGUUCUGUACCAAAUGGUAUCGUCGCCCAACAAAAAUAAAGAGCAAGAAUGCAUAAACAACCAACCAUACCGCACAUGCACAACUCAUAAAUAUGGAUCGGCCAUACAGAAUUUUCUUCAGAGUUCCCAUAUCAUACGUAAACUAGCCUAUUAAUGGAAUUGGAUCAAAACAACUAUUGCACCAGGGUACAAUUACUACAUAAAAUGUUGUCUCACUAUUUAACUUUGCAAACCCCAUAUUCCAUAUACCACUCAGAACUCAGGGUGGACGCAACGAGCACGCUUUUUGGCCCGCUCGUGGCCCGCAUAGGACCGGACCGAACGGUCCGGGCUCGCUAGCAAACUUGGUCGGUCCGGAUUGAAAAAGUAGGCCCGCUCAGCACCUCGGUCCGGUCCGCAUUUUAACCGAGCCGCUCGGUCGGACCGAGAACUGCCGCCGGCGACGUGGGCGCUGCGUCGAGGUGAGCAUCCUGGCUCGCUUUAACCAGUCGAGCCUCGUUCGCCUGUUCGAUCUCUGCAUCACUGCAUGCACCGCGGCUACACAUACAUGGUGUUCUAGUUCGCCGAGAACAGCCCGUUCAAUGAGUGGCUCCACGUCCAUGGAGGCGAGAUGAUGGGAUGGAUGACCCAGCACGUAGUCGGCAUCUGCACAGGCACGCACGGCGAGCGGCGGCACACACUCACGCACGCCAUAUGUCGUUCCUGCGGUGACCGCGGUGUCAGUUAAAAGUUGUUGUCAAACAUUCAGUUUCGUCAGGCGUAAUUGUACUGUUAAAAGUUCAGCUUCGUCAGUUGGAAUUUUCUUCAGUUUGUGACUUGGUCAAUUGGUCUUAGGUUGUUAGCGCAGCCCGUCGCUUUAAUCGGAUCUUAGGAUGGCACGAUACUAAAACGAUCCUAGCGACGAUGCAGGGUAGCGGGCAAGGAACGCUGGGAUGGCAGAAACAGCAAGGCCCGCACACAGAAAAUUGUGGGUGUUUUCCUUUCCUUUUAUUCCGUCUAACAGAUAACAGAAACCGCAAAAGAAGCGAGGUUCGAUCCGUUAAUUAAGGCGUCAUCCCACGACUAUCUCCACGUCAAAAUUGAUCCACUAAUCACAGCAAUGCCACCACACACGAAAUCGUGGGCUCAUGGACGCGCUAAAAUACUUGCAUGUAACGGAAAAGCUGCAGCAACAAACAUGAGCGGCUAACAGAUGCGCCCUGGCCGGCGCCACCGCGUCUCGUCGUCGCCGAUCUCGACCAGGCAGUUGUCUUCAUCAUGUCCAGGAGCUCGCCGGAGUCGUCUGUCGCCGCUGCCGUGGUCACCACGUCGCCGCCGCCGCCGCCAUGGGCGGUCCUCUCGGUCCGGCCCGAGCUUUACCUCCGCCGGUCCGGUGCAGGAAAAGGAGACCGCCGCGCUGCUCGGUCCGGUCCGGUUCAGUCCGCCGCCGGCCGGUCCAAACGGCGGCUCGGUCAGGGACCGGACCGGCCCGGACCGUGUCCACCCUGACUCAGAACUGAUGCAAAAAGAUAAAAGUAGCCAAAUAUAUCAGGACAUAGUCUCGCUAUGUUCUGAAACCAAUAUAUAGGUCAUUUUACUAAAAUCUACCAAGUCUUCUAGACACCCACUGAACCAUAAUGCAUGAAACUAAAUACAUCAGCAACGGCGAGCACAAUAAGCAGCGCAGGAGCAUCAAGCAAAGAGGAGUACCAGGUGGUGAUAGGAAGUAGCUGAGUCGUUGGGGUCGGGCGAAUCGGAACAGUGACGAUGAGUAUAUCGUGGGCAUGGGGUACCAUGUUCGAAUUGAUCAACUGAAGAGCAACGAGAAAGAAAUUGAACAGGCAAAGAGAAAAUAUGUCUGCAUACUGUUAGAGAUAGAGGGUAUUACCUCAAGAUGGCAAUGGGGCCCCGAAACCCGCGUCCCCGCGGGUUUUUACCCUAUUAGGGGACGGGGAUGGGCAUAUUUUCAUCCCCGUGGGGCUGUUGUUGGGCACAUUAUACAACCCGACAUGUUUCGUGGGUUUGCACCCGUUUCAGCAGUCCCCGAACCCGAAACCCGGCAAACCCAGGAAAAUACAUUUUUUACCAAGCACUGAUCCGGUGCGGCCCAAACCAAAGCUAUCGAGCCUGAGCGACCGAGCCCCCACCCCCCAACGUUGAAGGCCAAACCAAGAAUUCUAUUUUAAAACUUAUGUAAUUGCACAUCUUGUUGAACCAUGUAUGGCUUAUCAUCUUUCUUGCUGAAAUCUGAUCAUUUUUGUUGCUGAAAUGUGGUGUCAUGCUGCUGAAAUACAUUCUAUAUAGCUGUUGAACCAUCUAAUAUUGUUUUUUGUUGAAAUUUGCUCAAGUUAUGCUGCUGAAAUGUGCUUGUUUUGCUGCUGAAAUGUUAUUCUUUGUCGCCACUAUGUUUGUUUAAAUAUUUUGAUUUUCUUGUGGGUCCCCCGUGGGUUCCCCGAAACCCGAUGGGUUUAGGGGACGGGCGGAAAACUAGCCCCGCGCAUGGUGAUGGGGAUGGGGACGGGUUUAUGAUUUUCUCGUGGGGAUGGGUUUGGGAAGGCAAACCCCGAUGGGUUUCGUCCCCAUUGCCAUCUUGAGUAUUACCCAUGUGUAUGAGAGGGUGAUACCCGAGUGUGUCUGGAUAUGUUGUGUGUGUUCUAAAGGAAAUGUAGUGAUCUGAGGGAUAUGCUUAUCAGUACUUGUCACUUGGAGUAAGUUCUAAAGAAGAAAAGGUAGUGGUCUGAGGAACCAGCAAAUAAAAAAGAGAGGCUACCUUGCAACAAACAAAAACUGUGUUGUACUGGUAUCAAUGGCAUAUAUCCUAUACGUGAACUGAACACUUCCCCAGAUCAAGACUAACGCCAUCAUUUCCUUGAUUCCUUCUAUUCAACAGGACAUACGAGAUACAACACCAUUAGUUUAUCUCAGGUAAAACUGGAAUUUACGUAGCGCCUUUUUUCAUAGGCAAAUGUAAAGAAAUAUCACAAAGAAAAGUGUACUAGCAAUUCAAAAGAACGUCAUGGCACAAACCAAGUCUCAGCAAAUGACCCUCCAAUAUUGAACAAAUCAUUGAGAGGCAAACUAAUAAUCCGAAAAUCAUCCACGUGAUACCACCACAACUCUUCCUUUCAAUUUUCAUAGGUAGCGCUAUAAUGCAGGAGUAAUCAUUCUACCAAACGAUCAAUCUUGCCAUAACAUGUCGUUUUGCACUAUGAAAAGUACAGACAAUGCCCCUUUCAGCAAGCAUCCAUCAUGCUUGGCGAGACAUUAAUAAAACUAAACCAAGUUAGAAAAUAUAUAUCUGCAAGUAGUUGAAGAUACAACACCAUAUGAGAGUAGAGAAUGCAAUCAAUAUGCUAACUGUAUAUGUGUACAGAAAAGUUUAUAGACAUUGAAUUUAGUGACCACAUAUGAAUCUGUUAGGUGGCAAGAUGCUACGUAUUAUUAGUUAAAUUUCAGUGGUACCUAAGAUAAACUCAUGCGUGGAGCUGCAGCAGGAUUCAGUAUGUUUAGCAGUGGCCAGACCAUCAAGUAGCCAAGCUUAUAGAUAAUCCGCUCUUGUAAGACAUGUAAAUAAGCACCGGCAAAUGAUGUUGGUACAACUGCAUAACUGCAGUUACCCUAGGACAAAAGGACACAUCAUGAAAGGAAUAACAUAUGCACAAUUGGUCUGCUGCCGUGUUAUGUGCUAAACAGUACCUGCACGUCGAUGAUGACCAUGUGUAUGAGCUUGAUAGGACCGCUCUCUAAACCGCUGCGGAAGUGCGUAAGCCGAGACACCCGGACACAUAGCAUUUGAUUUUGUCUUCCACAACAUAGAUCAGCAAGGGUGAUAGAAGCCAUCUGACAAAAGAUACAGUGAAUAGCAGCUAUCCACUUAGGUAAACAUUCAGGGGAAUAAAACAAUAAAUGAAAAAUGUACCGACUUCAAAAGAUAAAACCAUGAUUGUAUGAAAAUUGUACUGAUCUUAAAAGAUAUAAAUCAUGUCUCCUAUGAAAUAUGUUAGUCCCUGGCACAAACAGACCAUUGUUCUGGAAGGAAAAAUAAUUAUCUUAUUAAGUUCUUGAAUUUGCAUCUAUCUUUCCUAUAAGUAUAGUGUUAGCUGAGGCAAUCAUUUUCCUUACACAAACUUUGCUAAGGCAAGGCAAUUAUUCCCUUCUAAUUCAUAAGUUUCCAUUAAAACAUUUAUGUAAGAACCACAUCUCAUAUCUUCAAACCACACACUUCCCGAAGUUCCAAUUAUAGAAGCACUUGCAGCAGAAGUGGAUAUUGGCAAGCAUCGCAAAGCAGACAUAUAAUUUCAAUAAGCAUUUCCAUAUCUAUUAAAAUAGUGCUUCUCAUCACAUAGCAGGAAUAAAUUGUCCAUGUCUUUGUUUUAUAUUUCUGUUAGGAGUAUAUAGUAUGUUUCAACAAUUCUUAGAACCUAAGCUAGCCUUCUUAUUUACUACUCCCUCUGUAAACAAAUAUAAGCCUUCCAAUAUUUUUUGACCCAAGACAAAAUAAACAAGCCUUCCAAUAUUUUUCGAGGAAAAGCCUUCCAAUAUGGGGACUGUUAUUUCCUAACUGCAAGUAUUUAGCGUCAUUGACAGAACUGACAGUCUCCUUAGUCACAGAAAUCAGCACAUAUGUAAACAAUAGAUCUCACUACAAAAAUAGGAUGAAGCAUAGGCAGGCAAUAUCUAAUAAACAAAAUUAAGCAAGGCAACAAACGCCUCACCUGGAAAGAGGACAGCAGGCCUAGCCUCUCUCACGAACAAUACAAGAUAAAUGAGGGUAAACAAAAAGGGGGAUUAAAGAAAGGAGGGCUAAACCUGCACAACCGUGGACGCAGCUACGGCAGGAACACGACCACGAGAACAAAUCAGACGCGGGCAUGAGCAUGUACGUGACUUC